rnacentral:rRNA from 1 species
UACGAAGGGGGCUAGCGUUUUUCGGAAUUACUGGGCGUAAAGCGCCCGUAGGCGGCCUUGUAAGAUGGGGGUGAAAUCCCCGGGCUCAGCCCGGGAUCUGCCUUCAUGACUGCAAAGCUAGAGGAUGCGAGAGGUUAGCGGAAUUCCGAGUGUAGAGGUGAAAUUCGUAGAUAUUCGGAAGAACACCAGUGGCGAAGGCGGCUAACUGGCGCAUUUCUGACGCUGAGGUGCGAAAGCGUGGGGAUCAAACAGG